ensembl:snoRNA small nucleolar RNA snR60/Z15/Z230/Z193/J17
UGGAUACGGUGAUGAUUGCAUAGUUCAGCAGAGUUGACUGUGAAGAAUAUGCAUGUCUUUCGCUCCUAGCUGAUGUGUCCA